UCUAGAACUUAAGAUAUGAGCUAAACACUGAAUAGUGUCUAGGCUGCAAGACAAAUUCUGACUUCUCUUUUGUUGCUACAAUUUGAGAUUGAAAAUAGCAAAUUUAAGUCUUGCUUUCUACAUGAAAGUUUUAGGCCCAUGUCUUAUAACCAUCCAUA
rfam:Populus trichocarpa scaffold_11_contig_210, whole genome shotgun sequence.